rnacentral:rRNA from 1 species
AAUGGGGAAACCCAGUGUGAUUCGUCACACUAUCAUUAACUGAAUCCAUAGGUUAAUGAGGCGAACCGGGGGAACUGAAACAUCUAAGUACCCCGAGGAAAAGAAAUCAACCGAGAUUCCCCCAGUAGCGGCGAGCGAACGGGGAGGAGCCCAGAGCCUGAAUCAGCAUGUGUGUUAGUGGAAGCGUCUGGAAAGGCGCGCGAUACAGGGUGACAGCCCCGUACACAAAAGCGCAUGUGCUGUGAGCUCGAUGAGUAGGGCGGGACACGUGGUAUCCUGUCUGAAUAUGGGGGGACCAUCCUCCAAGGCUAAAUACUCCUGACUGACCGAUAGUGAACCAGUACCGUGAGGGAAAGGCGAAAAGAACCCCGGCGAGGGGAGUGAAAAAGAACCUGAAACCGUGUACGUACAAGCAGUGGGA